AAUAUUUCAGAUACUAUUGGUGUGAUGCCUUUUAAAGCGUCACUUAAAAGGGAAAUCGGUGUAAAUCCGGUGCUGUCCCGCAACUGUAACGAGGAAUUCUAUGAUAUAUAAGCCACUGUUUUUUAAAUGGGAAGGCUGUCAUAGCAAUGAUGAAUCGAAGCCAGGAGACCUGCCAAUUAGUUGUUACCUGU
rnacentral:ncRNA from 2 species